ACGAGCUUUUUAACUGCAACAACUUUAAUAUACGCUAUUGGAGCUGGAAUUACCGCGGCUGCUGGCACCAGACUUGCCCUCCAAUUGUUACUCUGAAAGGGGUUUGGAUUCCUAUCAUUCCAAUCACUAGAAAUGAAAUUUCCAGUGUUGUUAUUUCUUGUCACUACCUCCCUGAAUCAGGAUUGGGUAAUUUGCGCGCCUGCUGCCUUCCUUAGAUGUGGUAGCCGUUUCUCAGGCUCCCUCUCCGGAAUCGAACCCUAAUUCCCCGUUACCCGUCACUGCCACGGUAGUCCAAUACAGUACCGUCGAAAGCUGAUAGGUCAGAAACUUGAAUGAUCCGUCGCAGACCGAAGUCAACGCGAUCCGUUCGGUUACUAUGAAUCACCUGAGGACCACCGGAAGGGGUGGGUUGGUUCUGUAUCUAAUAAACACUGCCCUUCCAGGGGAAGAGGCAUGUGCGCAUGUAUUAGCCAUAGAAUUACCACGGUUAUCCAUGUAGUAAAGACCAUCAAAUAAACUAUAACUGUUUUAAUGAGCCAUUCGCAGUUUAGCCGUAUAAAAGCUUAUACUUAGACAUGCAUGGCUUAAUCUUUAAGACAAGCAUAUGA
rnacentral:rRNA from 1 species